rnacentral:rRNA from 1 species
CCUACGGGAGGCUGCAGUAGGGAAUAUUGCUCAAUGGGGGAAACCCUGAAGCAGCAACGCCGCGUGGAGGAUGAAGGUCUUCGGAUUGUAAACCCCUGUCAUGUGGGAGCAAAUUAAAAAGAUAGUACCACAAGAGGAAGAGACGGCUAACUCUGUGCCAGCAGCCGCGGUAAUACAGAGGUCUCAAGCGUUGUUCGGAAUCACUGGGCGUAAAGCGUGCGUAGGCUGUUUCGUAAGUCGUGUGUGAAAGGCGCGGGCUUAACCCGCGGACGGCACAUGAUACUGCGAGACUAGAGUAAUGGAGGGGGAACCGGAAUUCUCGGUGUAGCAGUGAAAUGCGUAGAUAUCGAGAGGAACACUCGUGGCGAAGGCGGGUUCCUGGACAUUAACUGACGCUGAGGCACGAAGGCCAGGGGAGCGAAAGGGAUUAGAUACCCGAGUAGUC